rnacentral:lncRNA from 1 species
AUGUUUUUUUGGUCGCACCGGGUGGCUCUGCGGUCGAGCCCUUUGUUUCCCCUUCAGCAAGUGCUCAGAUGUGUUCCAACCUGCAGGCGGCUGCUCGCGACGUGGGGCCGACGGGACCGUAGCACCGCGGUAAAGGUUACGGGGGUCUUGCCACGCCUCCUCCAGCUUGCCAGCCCCAAAAAGCUGCACCCUAAUUUCAGGGGCGACCGGGAGCCAGGGGAAACGCUCGUCCCUUUCUCCACGAGCGGAGCGCAGAUCACACCCAGGCUGGACCACCUGUCCCUGCCCAAGACCAGGGCAGGUGGCCUGUUCUUUGAGCUGGGACGACCAGAGGAGCCCAUCAGGCCAGUCUCCGAAAACGCCAGGCGGGCCACGGUGACCCCCCGGAUUAAAGACUUGGCCGUAGCAAGAAGCCUGUCGAAAGAUUAUGUGCCAAUGCGAGAUCCAGUCUGGAGGGGAACGAAGGGGAAGAGCUGAGGGGAGAUGGCGCAAAUGCUUCUUCCCGGUUUUUGCUCUGACAUUUACACCGGCGAAUUAAUUUUUAACUACUUCCUUCAUUUAGCGGACACUUUUCUCUAGUGUGACAUGCAGCUCAGAGCAGAGAGGCGCGUGCAUCAAUAACAGAUGAAGAACUUUAGACACAGACACGUAAUUAUUCACACGCGGCUAGUCUGUCCGAUACCACCAUGUUGCUGGUUCACAUCCCUCAAGUAGCUGCCUGUAGAAGCGAUAUUCAAACAGCAAAUACAUAGAUUAAUCACAGGAGCAGAUGGCGUUGGACUGUUGUGUAGCUGUCAGGAGAGUUUGAGAACCUUUGUGAAAUCUGGGAAGGAUUCAGCAGUUCCGAGGGACAGAGGGAGUUCAUUCCAGCACAUCAAGGCUAACUCUGACAACUGAACUCAUCCGGCUCUUGCUGGGCUCUAGGGAUGAUCACUGUAAAGAGCUGUGCUCUAAGCUCCAGCCAUGCUGCUAAUUGUUCAUGUGAAGUUUUCCACAGAAGUCCUACCGCUGACUGAUUACAGCCUGGGAUUUUUCACCAUAUGUCCCAUGAUGUGGUCUCCAUCGGUACGUAGUUGGCGCUGACUCUUCCCCCAGACUGGAUUUACGAACGUCUGAAGAACCUGCUGGUUUUAAUCUGGGAUUAGAGAGCUGUGAUCACGACCCACGCCUGGUGGUUAAGAAGGAAGUCAGCAGGAGUUGCUUUUUGCCUUUGACUGGGGUAGUACAGUCUCCCAGGAUGCAUCUGGGCUCAAUAAAGGGCCAUUAUCAGCAGAUGUGAGACUCA